rnacentral:rRNA from 1 species
GAUCAUGGCUCAAAUUGAACGCUGGCGGCAUGCCUCCUUUUGCAAGUCGAACGGCAGCGCGGGUGCUUGCACCUGGCGGCGAGUGGCGAACGGGUGAGUAAUACAUCGGAACGUGCCCUAAAGUGGGGGAUAACUAGUCAAAAGAUUAGCUAAUACCGCAUACAAUCUACGGAUGAAAGUGGGGGACCGCAAGGCCUCAUGCUCCUGGAGCGGCCGAUGUCUGAUUAGCUAGUUGGUGGGGUAAUGGCCUACCAAGGCAACAAUCAGUAGCUGGUCUGAGAGGACAACCAGCCACACUGGGACUGAAACACGGCCCAAACUCCUACGGGAGGCAGCAGUGGGGAAUUUUGGACAAUGGGGGCAACCCUGAUCCAGCAAUGCCGCGUGUGUGAAGAAGGCCUUCGGGUUGUAAAGCACUUUUGUCAGGAACGAAACGGUGGGGGCUAAUACCUUCUGCUAAUGACGGUACCUGAAAAAUAAGCACCGGCUAACUACGUG